rnacentral:ncRNA from 1 species
GUAAAUGCAAUGAGCAGGACAGGAUUUUUUCCUACAGCAUUUUCAGAGAGCCUUCGGCUGGUGUGAGAAGGCAGUGCCCCGAAAAAAUUAUCCCCUGAGAGCUGUUUGGGUGAACGCAAAGUAAUCCAGAACGGAGGCCCACCGUUAUAAGGGAACAUAUUCAUCUGCACGGGCAGAGGAUGUGAACAAAGUGGCCGGAUGAUCCGGCAAUAGAAGUGGUACCGCGGGGAAUAACCUUCGUCUUCUGA